CAUUGAAACACCGGUUUCCGUACGAUCCACCGAAGUUAAGCAACAUCGAGCCAGUUAGGUAUCUAGAUUGGUGACAACUUGGGAAUAGCAGGUGCUGUUUG